rnacentral:rRNA from 1 species
AAGUCGUAACAAGGUUUCCGUAGGUGAACCUGCGGAAGGAUCAUUAUCAUGUAAAUUCAGUCAUGCUUGCUGCGUGAGCUGCAAUACACCCACACUGCGUACACCUUUCCUGUUGCUUCCGCCGGGUCCAGACGAGAGAUCUGUGCCCGGCGGAAAAUAACCUCCAAGUCAUUACCAUAGAAUCAGUCUGAGCAAACAAAGAAACCAAAUGAAAUGUUAAAACUUUCAGCAACGGAUCUCUUGGUUCUCGCAUCGAUGAAGAACGCAGCGAAAUGCGAUAAGUAGUGUGAAUUGCAGAAUUCAGUGAAUCAUCGAAUCUUUGAACGCACAUUGCGCCUCCCGGUACUCCGGGAGGCAUGCCUGUUCGAGAGUCAUUGACAACCACAUCGAAUCCCCCCGUUUGGGGGGAGAUCGGUUCUGGGGGAAGAGGGAGUGAGCUGCCUCGCUACGCUUGGCAAAUCCCCUCCCCUCCGAAAUUCAUAUGCGGUCUGUGCCAAACCCACAUGUUUAUAUGGGCGCGUUGUAGAGGAGGCCCCUCACGAAUUUGGAGGAGCCACUUUUCGCGUGUGUAUGAUAAUGCUGGUUGGGUUUUUUCGGGACCCCAGACCAGCCAGGAAUAAAAAUCCCCAGUGGCUUUUUGUUACUAAAUCAAUGGUUGACCUCGGAUCAGGUAGGGAUACCCGCUGAACUUAA